rnacentral:rRNA from 1 species
GGGGAAUAUUGCACAAUGGGGGAAACCCUGAUGCAGCGACGCCGCGUGGAGGAAGAAGGUCUUCGGAUUGUAAACUCCUGUUGUUGAGGAAGAUAAUGACGGUACUCAACAAGGAAGUGACGGCUAACUACGUGCCAGCAGCCGCGGUAAAACGUAGGUCACAAGCGUUGUCCGGAAUUACUGGGUGUAAAGGGAGCGCAGGCGGGAAGACAAGUUGGAAGUGAAAUCCAUGGGCUCAACCCAUGAACUGCUUUCAAAACUGUUUUUCUUGAGUAGUGCAGAGGUAGGCGGAAUUCCCGGUGUAGCGGUGGAAUGCGUAGAUAUCGGGAGGAACACCAGUGGCGAAGGCGGCCUACUGGGCACCAACUGACGCUGAGGCUCGAAAGUGUGGGUAGCAAACAGGAUUAGAUACCCUGGUAGUCCACACCGUAAACGAUGAUUACUAGGUGUUGGAGGAUUGACCCCUUCAGUGCCGCAGUUAACACAAUAAGUAAUCCACCUGGGGAGUACGACCGCAAGGUUGAAACUCAAAGGAAUUGACGGGGGCCCGCACAAGCAGUGGAGUAUGUGGUUUAAUUCGACGCAACGCGAAGAACCUUACCAAGUCUUGACAUCCUGCGACGGACAUAGAAAUAUGUUUUUCCUUCGGGACGCAGAGACAGGUGGUGCAUGGUUGUCGUCAGCUCGUGUCGUGAGAUGUUGGGUUAAGUCCCGCAACGAGCGCAACCCUUAUGGUCAGUUACUACGCAAGAGGACUCUGGCCAGACUGCCGUUGACAAAACGGAGGAAGGUGGGGAUGACGUCAAAUCAUCAUGCCCUUUAUGACUUGGGCUACACACGUACUACAAUGGCGUUAAACAAAGAGAAGCAAGACCGCGAGGUGGAGCAAAACUCAGAAACAACGUCCCAGUUCGGACUGCAGGCUGCAACUCGCCUGCACGAAGUCGGAAUUGCUAGUAAUCGUGGAUCAGCAUGCCACGGUGAAUACGUUCCCG